GUCGUGCCUGCGACGUUGCCGACCGCGGCCUUCAGCGUCGCGCCGAGGUUGAUGCCGCCGUGGGUGUAGAAGUUCUUGUCCUCGCUCGACA
rnacentral:tRNA from 1 species